GAGCUUUCGUGGGCGUGCACUGUGCCUUUGUGAGUGGAGGCUGGCAAGGUCUGGACCCUGGGGCAAGAGAGCCCUUAACUUCUCCCACCUCUCUCAGAUCAGACACCCUCCCCCUCUCUGAUGGGAUGCUGAAAUUACUUACAGUCUGGUUGCAAAGCCCCAGAACUUGAGGGUGGUUUUGUACUCUCAUGUGAAGAAGGCCCUUCAUAUAGAGUCACCUUUACGAUUUCAAAACUAAAUAUGAUGAGCUCUAUGGGCUGCAUGGGACUGUAGCAGCUUAAUCUAUCUGUGCAUUCUGGGUUACCAUUAUGGAGCAACUCAAUACUUACGUUACCUUAACUAGGCACCCCAUCUGCUGCAGAGGAAAGGAGAGUCCAGUGUGAAAUCCUCUCAUUUAGGCCACGAGGAAGAAGGAACUGGAAGUUCAAAUGGGGACAGCUUCAAAGGGCUCUACUCCAAGUACACAAAUGCUCAUUUAAUUUCUUCAGGAAAAAAAAAUUAAAGUGGCGUGGAUAACUCAUCAAGAAAGGCUCUGAGAGUCAUUGAAAAGUGACUCUAACUUCAUUAGGGACUCACGGGAGGUGCCCUGUCACUGGGGAUAGCCUCAAGUUAGUAUUGAAACUACAGAUGAUCUCAUCUUCAUUUUGCUUUCUCACUAUGAGCUAGCCUCAUUAGCCAGAAAGAUCUAGGGAUGCAGCCGACUCUGCCUUCCCAGUGUUGAGACAACUGAUAACAGCUUCCAUAUGCAGCUUCUUUAUGUAGAUGCUGGAAUUUUGAACUCUAGAAGCAUGCUCAACUGACAAGCACUUUUCUGACUGAGCCAUCAUCCUAGUCCCUAGUGUAGUGUUUUACAAAAGCUUUCUGAAAUGUUGAUUUUUAUCAUGUGUGGUCUCUUUGUAGCACUGAGAAGACAGCUUAAGUUUUGCCAUAAAGUUUGCACUGAGGAGCAGGGAACAGAAAAUGAUCAUAUAAACAAACAAGCAAAUAUGUAGUGUAUUUUUCAAUGAUGAGUGUGAUCACAGGCACUCUGCCUGAGAACCUGCUUAUGUAGCUUAGACUGAAGUCUUUGGAAGUCUAUGGGCUCUUUUCUUAGUCAAGACUGGGGACAAUGGUUUGUUAAUUCUUAUAACUUUAAUAACCCAUGUCUCAAAAUCAGAAAAAAGUAUUUAAAUAUUUGUUAUAAUCUUAUUACUAUAAAUGCUUAUAGCUCCUGUUCAGAUGUUCAUGUUCAUUUCUAACUGCUUUUCAAUCAGCUGCCUCUGCUUUCAUGGGGGUCAAGUCCAUGCUUGUAUGACAUUAGUGUAUGCUUCCAGCUAAGAGCCUGAAAAAUACCCACUAUGCUAUCUUAGAGUGAUUGUUUGCAUCUCGUGUAUAUAGUUAGACUAGAGGACCUUCUGGUUAAGUGAUUAAUUUUCUGGCAUUCUCCUGUAUUUAGUUUUUACUUUGGAGUUAGUAGUUACAGGAAGUAAAAUUUUACAGAACUUUCUUCCAUUAUGGUAAAGUAUUUGGACCGUGAACAAUUAUUCUUAAGGUAAAAUGUGAUAAUAUUAAAACUAAAAAUAAUAUAAAUUCAAGGAAUUCUAUAAAAUGUUCAAGAACUUUUAAAAUGGAUAAUGAUGUGUGUGCAAGGAUGAAUGCAUCUUCUCUUGUGAAAAAACAUUUCAGUAUAUUUAUUCUUAAUAUUCUGAAUAAUUAUAUGUUCAGGACCCUAAAGAGAAUAUAAAAUCAUAUUUUUAUUUCC
ensembl:antisense